ACGCACGCUGGCGGCGUGCUUCACACAUGCAAGUCGAACGGAAAGGCCCCUUUGGGGGUACUCGAGUGGCGAACGGGUGAGUAACACGUGAGUAACCUGCCCUUGACUUCGGGAUAACUUCAGGAAACUGGGGCUAAUACCGGAUAGGAAUCCUUGCUGCAUGGUGGGGGUUGGAAAGCUUCGGCGGUUUUGGAUGGACUCGCGGCUUAUCAGCUUGUUGGUGGGGUAGUGGCUUACCAAGGCUUUGACGGGUAGCCGGCCUGAGAGGGCGACCGGCCACAUUGGGACUGAGAUACGGCCCAGACUCCUACGGGAGGCAGCAGGGGGGAAUAUUGCACAAUGGGCGGAAGCCUGAUGCAGCAACGCCGCGUGCGGGAUGACGGCCUUCGGGUUGUAAACCGCUUUCAGCAGGGGCGAAGCUUGUGGUGACGGUACCUGCAGAAGAAGCACCGGCUAACUACGUG
rnacentral:rRNA from 1 species